rnacentral:lncRNA from 1 species
CCGCAAGACUUCAAAUCCCCCCACCACCAUCGCCGCCGCCGCCAUCGCAGCCAACUUCCGCAACCCUGAACAGUAAACACCAACCUAACCACCGAAACCGUACAAAGUCCUACCCUGCCUCUUGAGGGCAUAAACGACAUCCAUGGCGGUCACCGUCUUUCUCCUGGCGUGCUCAGUAUAGGUCACGGCGUCGCGGAUCACGUUCUCCAAGAAGAUCUUCAACACUCCACGGGUUUCCUCGUAGAUCAAGCCACUGAUACGCUUGACACCUCCCCUACGAGCUAGACGCCGGAUCGCCGGUUUCGUGAUUCCCUGGAUGUUAUCACGGAG